GCCUUGUACACACCGCGCGUCACACCAUGGAAGUUGGCCACGCCCGAAGCCGUUACUCCAACCCUUGUGGAGGAGGACGUCGAAGGUGGGGCUGAUGACUGGGGUGAAGUCGUAACAAGGUAUCCGUACCGGAAGGUGCGGAUGGAUCACCUCCUAA
rnacentral:rRNA from 1 species